AGAAAAACAAAUUCUUCUAGGCUUUGUUAUGUUCAACAAACAUUUUUCUUGUUAAAAUAGUUAGAGAAGAUUCUGUUACCAAGGAAUAUUUAGAUACUAUGGGUUCACAUUUGGAUCCUCAGCUUGAGGACAGAAUUCUGCAUGAGGUGAAAUCGCAAGGCGUUUUCGAUGAAUUUCGCAAAGAUUCAAUGGCGGACGUAGACACCAAGCCCGCUUAUCAAAAUCUACGACAACGUGUAGAGAAUACAGUGAAAAAGUUCUUAUCUGAGCAACACUGGACGCCAGAUAUGAAUAAAAACCAACUGCGCGAGAAAUUGCGGAGGCACAUAACCGAGUCUGGUUUUUUGGAUGUUGGUGUGGAACGGAUUGUGGAUCAAGUGGUGAACCCCAAAAUUGGUACAGUUUUCCAACCGCGUAUUGAAGAAAUUACUUACAAAUAUUUAGGACUACCUCCGCCACCAGUCAAACACGAACCUCCACCACCGAUAAUGCACCCCUUACCGCCCUUGCCUUUGACGGGACCGCCGCCUUUGAAAAUAGAAACUAGCAGUCUUUUACCAACUGGACUCGAGCAAGUAAGCCCCGAUUCCGAUAAAGCGACAGUAAAGUCAGAAUCUCGAGAGGAUGACAAAUCAAUAAUCGAUAUGGAUAUUGAUAUGGAUGACAAAAUGGUAGAGGAGGAUGAUGAGUCCCCUCCAUUCGAGCCAUUAGUGAAAUGUGUGGAGGAAAAACAUGUAAUAAAAACUGAGACAAUGAUAAAGAAAGAGAGUGAAGUUGAUGAGAAACUAGAGGUUGCCACGAGUAAAAUCGAACCAAUGUCAACCGGAAAGGCGUUAAAGUCAGAUUUUGGUAAACAAGAAGAAAUAAGAGAUUCUGAAACGCAGGACACUUCCGGUUCAACAAAUCCAACAAAUCCUGAACCUGCGAAAAAUUUGAGUUUAUCAUUUGAAGCAGAUGCUGCUUUAUCGCAAGAUUCGCAGUUAUCUCAGGUGUCGAGUGACAGUCACAUCUCCGAUGUUACUGCAAAUGCGUCGCAUAGCUUUAUGGAUAACUCGAGUGCUCACAACACAUCGCAAGCGCAAGACGAAGCAGUAUUGGAACUGGCUUCGGCGAAUAUAUCGGAAGAAGCACAAAUGCCUAAAUUCAACGAAAACUCAUGCGAAAUGAGUGGUCCAAAGUCAAAUCUAUCCGAGCUACACUUUGAUAUAAAGAAAGAUGAGAUUAAAUUCGAAGGUACUGAACGAAAGAUAAAUUUGAUGGAACAAGAAGGCGAAUGCAAUUCAGUAAUUGGGGAUAUUUCUCCGAGACAAAGGGGUACAUUGGGUGGUAAUUUAGAAAAUAAAGAACAACCGCAUCACUUCGGAAAUUUAAUAAUUGAUACAAAUGUAGAGCCUAACGACCAAAAAUCAGCACCGAAAACGCCUGCAGCAACUCCGACCCAAACUCCUCAUGACAGUAGUUUCGGCUCUUCACUUGAAGAUAUAAGUUAUCAGCAUUAUGCAGAUAAUUGUGAAGAUGGAUUAAAAAAUGAGUCUGUGACUGCAGCAAUAUCAGUGUCCUUGCCAGAACAAAGCGAGAAAAAAGAAGCAAGUUCCUCGCAAAAUCGAGGAUCCUCGUCGUCAUCUCGACAUAAAAAGCAUUCGAAAGAUAAGCGGCACUCGCACGGCUCAAAGGAAAAGUAUAAGGACAGAGACCGAAGUAAAAAUAGAGACAGAAGUAAGGAUAAGGAUAAGGGUAGUGAUAAGGAUAGAAGUAGCGAUAAAAGUAGGCAUAGAGACAAGGAGAGCAGUAGGGAUAAAGAUAAGGAACGAAGGGAAAAGGAGAGAAGAAAGGAUAGGUCUAAGGAAAAAGAAAAGUCCCAUAGGCGCGAUAAGCACACGAAGACUAAAAGCGAUAGCAUGGAGCGUAGCGGCAGCUCAAAGCGCUCGAGCUCAUCCGCAGGACGGUCUCAUGAUACAAGUUCCAGUAAAAAUGAUAAAGGCGGAACAACGAAAAGUGCGAGCACUUUCAUAUCAUCGUCAAGCUCUUCCAGUCGUUCUGAGAGCCAUGAUGCAAGACGCGAAAAACGUGAAUAUGAAAGGAAGAAACUUCUAAACUCAUCAAAUAAUGAAAAUAGUUCAAAGAAAGAUGACAGCAAAUCCGUCAUUGAUGAUCAUAGCAUUGAGAAGUUGAAAGUUCAGAGGCGCAAGUCAACAGAUUCAAAUGAUGAAGGUAAAGGUGGUAGUGGUGGUGGUGGUGGUGGUGCUGGCAGGCAGAAUGGUGGAAGCGAGCAUGUAAGAGGCAGCGUAAACUCGUCAGGAACCAGCUAUGACAAGCAGCAAAGUCAACAGAAAGACUCCAAGAACACAUCACCAAGUUCACAAAGCCCAAAGAGCAAACCCAAAGAUGGUGUGGAGGAGUCUGGUUAUGAAGAUAAACUCACUGGCGCCGCCUUGAAUAUUACUAAUGAAAUGUGUGAAACUGAGAGCACAAAAGCUGCGAUGGCACAAGCGCACCGAAAUAAAGUUGUUAUUUUGAACGAUAUGCUGGAGAAUCCCAAUGUAAAUUUCAUAGAUUUGGGACCAACAAUGACAACAUAUUCAAUCGCUAAAGGUGCAGCUGCAGGUGCAGCUGCAAUAUGCAAUACUCCGCCCAAAAUAGAUAUUUCGCCGCCCGAUAUAGACGUCACAUUGCCUGAAACUACUUCUAAGCCGCCUGUAACGCACAUUUCAUCGACAAACUCGCUUGGAGCGGAAGAAGAGCAGCUAUUAUUUUUCGAUGAAAUGAGUGCGCCAUUUUCAGAUCGCUUGCGUUUGCUCGAUAACGCAAUGGAUCGCUGCCGGCGUGUGGUUAAUAAUUUGCGCUUCGAUUGUGCCAACGAAUUAUACAACUCGUUUGAAGCUUACGAAGAGCAACAAAGUAAAAACGAAUUGGAUACGAAUGUAACGACGCAAUCUCGUGCUACUCUUUCAGUCGAUUGUGUGCCUGUAUACAGUGUGGAAAACUGUUUUAUGAGCAAUGAACGAUGUGCAGCUAGUCCGGUUGAGAAUGCAUUCGAUAAUGAUUACGAGCCGAAUGCGAAACGUAGACGAAAUAACAUCGGGCAAUCACUGCAAAGUAAACCAUCACCCACACCUUCAGAUGCUAGUGUCAAUUCCAAGGAGAAUAUGGCACUGGACAAAAAUGCUGAUAUGCAUACAAAUUAAAUCAAAGAAUAAAGAACCCAGUAUGAAGCGAAUAAUAAGUACUGGUAAAUUUGUAGAGCCUUCGCGUAUCGCAUGACAUAAAAUAACCUAUUCAUAGAAGCCUACAUUUAAAAUAGAUUGAAAUUUGAAAAAAAAAUUGAAUUAUCCUUCAAACCAUGCUGGAUAUGGUGAAGUGUAUUCGUCGCAUUGCCUCUGUAAAUAAAUUGAACCAACAGCAGCGUUAUAGCAGCGAGGAUCUUUACAAGCCACGACCAGUGCUAAGUCAACGCUCCCGUCGU